CCCUCUUUGCUCGUGAAGCGUGGACUCGCUGGUGUACAGCGCAUGUCUUUUAUAAAUACGCACUUGUCAUUGCGUGCGCUUGUGCUGUGAAAUACUUGUCACACGAGACCGACGGCGCUGCUGCGCCUUGUGAUGCCAGAACAAGUCUAGCGAAGACAAAAAGCUUUUCACGAUACUGUCCGGCAAGUGCCACGAGUGUCGAAGACUUGGUCACAGAAUCGGAAGGGAGUACUUCAAGCAGACAUUUUCGACUCUCCUUUGCGAGGAUAAGGGGAUGGCCGCAAGACGAACCCAGUGUUGCGCAAGGUGCCUGUGCUGAUGGCUGGUGCGUUACUGCCAGGUGCUCCUGGGUGUGGCAGGUGCGGCUGGCUUGACAGAACUGCAGACCGACACUGCGGUCCGGGACAACAGAGAUGGCCAUCUCCCACAGAAUUCCCUGCCGCAGUGCCAAAACCUGGAAGCUAGCACCUGGGACACUGAGGCGUGCACUUACCAGACGUGUACUCCUGUGCACUUCCUUUCAUUGCCAAUGUAGUCAACGUG